rnacentral:lncRNA from 1 species
GAUUGUUGAGAUCUGGCGACUUGUUUAAAUUUCAUCAGCCUCACUUCUAUGAACUCUCAGAGCUGAUUACCAACUCCUACCACUGUUAACCCUCAUCCAGGAAAAAGCUUAUGUCUUUAACAUUCUGAGUGGGCUUCAGCAUCCUUGCAUAUGUUCAAUUCUUAAAAACCUGUUGAAAUAAAAGAUCAGGAGACAUAGGAAGGAUGCCAGAAGAGAGCGUGGCCUCAUGUGUACCAGCUCUCUGCUCUCCUUUGCCUUGGGACGUUCCAUCCCUGGAAGUUUCCCUGCCCACAUCUUUGUAGAGAGUCCAUUCUCCAAGCUUCAGUGUGUCAUCUGUGAGGACUGUGACCAACCUGGUACAUCGCCUCAGGGCAUUCAUUUCAGGCUCCUUCUAAAUGGUCAAGACAAAACACCAACAUUUUUGUAAUGGCCUGCAAGGCCUUCCGAGAUCUGCCUCCUGCAACUCAGCUUCUCCUGUGCUCUCCUUCUGGACUCACUCUGCCUCAGCAACACUGGUCCCUGUUGCCCCACCAAUAUACCAGGUAAACCUCAGGUUCUCCUCCUGCCUUUUGCUAAGUAUAUGUCUUGAUGACAAGCCUUCUGCUGAUGAGCUGUGUUUCUGGACCGAUCAUGGUAGAAGUCAAUUAACGUGUCCCUCACUUGGGGUUUCUCAAGGACAUGCAAGGUCCUCAUGAUUGUCUCAAAACUAUAUAGAAUUGAGAAGCUGCACUGAUGAGGAAACUGAAACAGAAAAUCCAGAGUAAAUUCCACCAGGCCACACAGCAAGGUCUGAUAGAGCCAGGAGAGACUUUAUGAAAUCCAGACUCUCACACUAAUGCUCUAUCAGCUAGACCUCCAUGUGAGUCUCCCCAAUGUAGGUAGGAAGUGCUUUCCC